rnacentral:rRNA from 1 species
UACGUAGGUGGCAAGCGUUGUCCGGAUUUACUGGGCGUAAAGGGCGUGCAGCCGGAGAGACAAGUCAGAUGUGAAAUCCACGGGCUCAACCCGUGAACUGCAUUUGAAACUGUUUCCCUUGAGUGUCGGAGAGGUAAUCGGAAUUCCUUGUGUAGCGGUGAAAUGCGUAGAUAUAAGGAAGAACACCAGUGGCGAAGGCGGAUUACUGGACGAUAACUGACGGUGAGGCGCGAAAGCGUGGGGAGCAAACAGG